UUGGCAAUUCAACUGGUUUUUAAAUUACAUCUUUUGAAUAUGAACAAACUUUAAUGUGACUAAAUGGUCUGCAUCUAUAAAAUGUUUGUGCAAUUAAAAUGUGUUAUGCUGAUGAAAAUACACAACUUGUAUGCUUAAGUAUGUAAGUAAUAAUGUGUUUAUGCUGCCUGACUGAAUGUAAUGCAGCCAACUUUGAAUAUACAAAAAUACUCAAUAUGAUAUAAAUACAUAAAAUACACUAAUUAUCUUGGCAGGGAGAUUGUAUUGUAGUGUGUGUGUGUGUGUGUGUGUGUGUGUGUGUGUGUGUGUGUGUUUCUGAAUAGAAUAAUAAAGAACUGUAACUUAUCACCUUUCACCAAACACUAUAUUGAGGUCUCGCAGCACUUCGGAGGAAUUUGGGAAUCAAAACAAAACAUUAGUUUUCCUAACAUAAAGCUUUGAGGUUCAAACUCCACCCGCCCGGCGCUCUUUGUAACAAAAUCGAGCGCACAGUGGGUGUGGCAGUGACUUUCACUUUUGAAAUUCACAUCUGGAUCAGCUCUUCCUCCGACACAGACCUGUUAGUUGUCUCUCGAAAUACACACACACAAACAUGUUAAUUGUUGUACAGGUACAAAGAUGAACUGCUGUGGUCUACUAACUGCACAGAAGGAACCAGUUCCUCUGAAGAGCGUGGGGGUGGAGCUGGAGGUCAGGGACCACGUGGCUACAGUGGUCUCCACUCUGAACUAUGAGAACAAGGAGGACAAACCGCUAGAGGCUGU
rnacentral:lncRNA from 15 species